UAGACGUUGGGGAACCCUCCCAUCUCUUCUUCGUCGAAACGCCAAAAGAGAGAGAGAGAGAGUCGAGGAGGAGGCAUCAUGGCUUUUGGGGUUGAGAGUUGGACGCCAAGAAGCAUAGUUCGGUUGGAAAAGGCAUCUCCUUCUGGGCAGCAUGGUUGAGCAGGCUGUCUAUCAAAGGCUAUUGCUUCUUGUGCUUCAAUGGUCGUAUCAACAACUUUUUUAAACGUGAAGAAGAUGCAUGUAUGUUUCCAAAGUUUUAGGUUUCUAGAGGUAGGAACUGGAACUACUGAUGGUGCACUACAUUAAGAGUUGAAGGUGAAGAACAACAACAAGGUGGAGGGGAGAAAGUUGUAAUUAACAGCUUGGGAUUUGGAAAUGCUAUCCACUUCUUAUAUACAAAAAGGGCUACGUUUACAAAUCCUCUAGGCUGUUGGAAGCCACCACCGAACGCCGCCUCAAGUCAUCCCUCUCCCGAUGCCUCUUGCACUUCCCCUUGUGAGACUACCAACUUCGUUGAUUGCUGUGAUGAAGGUGUAUGGUUUGAUGUGUUUGAUUGCUGUGACGAAGGUGUAUGGUUUGAUGUGGCCGCUGCCGAUGGGGUCGGUGUGUUGAAGUUGAUGAUGGGGUCGGUGUGUUGAAGUUGAUGUCUGCUGGUGAGGUUCAAGUCAUUGUCAAUUCCUUGUUGCCACUGGUUGAUGGCACGAUGAUCAACUUUGAUGAUUACUUUCUGCCUCUCCUUGCAGUUCAGGGAGAGGACACUUGUAGAAUUAGCGCCUGAUUUUUGAAUGGAAGUGGUGGAGCAGAGGAAGAUGGCAGAACAGGCGAUCGGAAAUCGCCUGAUUCCGGCAAACUCCGGCACCGGUUCCAGUCGAGCACUGGACCGUUGGAUCCGCAACUUUCGGGCGAUGCUACAGGUCUUUGAAGUUUCAUACAGUGGUCGGGUUGCCUGCGACGCGGUCUCAGAGGCAGAAACAGGCGGAGGGACUUGGAUCAAUUCCGACAUGCUCCGGCAACGGUUCCGGGCGAGGUUGGGCUUUUUGGAUCCGACACUAACCCACGGUGCUGUCUGAGCAGUUUGAGGGCCAGCGGAGACCCGCGUCGGCGGUGGUGUGCAGUUAAAUCAGGGGCGCUGGAAAUCUUACUAUUCCAGUGGGGACUUCCUCCGGCGACAAGAUAUGGCUCGAUGGAACCGCAGCGAGUCGGGGAUUCUGUAUCCGGUGACGUGAGCUUACUGAUGGAAAGGAGAACCUUGAUUAUGAUGGGGAGCGGUGCGCAGGACCAAAAAUUUUGGGGGCUUCUGCAAGAGGUAACCUCGCUGCCAAGGGCAUCCACGAGUCUCAUUCGGAAGGGUUUGCGGCCAUUGGUGUGGUCACCAGCAGAAAUACAGCAGCUUGCAAGAGGGACGAACCACCAAGUGCACCGCACACGGCCGAAUGGGCCUAAUCCUCAGCAGCAAGAAGAGGGGCAACAAGGCGGGCUGAGGCCCAGUUAGGGGAGCUCCACUGGGCAGAGGGCAGUUAGGGGAGCUCCACUGGGCAGAGGGCACGUUGGAGAGGAAGAGACACGAUCUAGGUGAAUUCCUGGCAGGUGCUCCCUCUUUUUUUCCCUCAUUGGUUCUUCCCUAAUGCCUUCCUUAGGCGGAUGAGCCAAUACGCGCUCACAGUCGAUAACUUCUUUGAGCGUCGCCUCCAGACGGUCGUGUUAUAGUCGGGGAUGGCUACG